rnacentral:tRNA from 1 species
GGAGAGAUGGCCGAGUGGUCGAAGGCGCACGCCUGGAAAGUGUGUAUACCUCAAAAGGGUAUCGUGGGUUCGAAUCCCACUCUCUCCGC